rnacentral:rRNA from 1 species
CCUACGGGAGGCAGCAGUGGGGAAUAUUGCGCAAUGGGCGAAAGCCUGACGCAGCGACGCCGCGUGAAGGAUGGAGGUCUUCGGAUCGUAAACCUCUGUCAGCAGGGAAGAACGGUCACUGUGCUAAUCAGCAGUGAAUUGACGGUACCUGCAAAGGAAGCACCGGCUAACUCCGUGCCAGCAGCCGCAGUAAUACGGAGGGUGCGAGCGUUAAUCGGAAUUACUGGGCGUAAAGCGCUCGUAGGCGUUAUGUCAAGUCAAGGGUGAAAGCCCCGCGCUCAACGUGGGAACUGCCUUUGAAACUGGCAAACUGGAGUGUGUGAGAGGAUAGUGGAAGUCCAGGUGUAGGAGUGAAAUCCGUAGAUAUCUGGAGGAACAUCAGUGGCGAAGGCGACUAUCUGGAACAUAACUGACGCUGAGGAGCGAAAGCGUGGGUAGCAAACAGGAUUAGAUACCCUUGUAGUC